rnacentral:tRNA from 1 species
UAGAUUGAAGCCAGUUGUAUUGGGCGUUUAGCUGUUAACUAAAUUUUUGUAGGUUAAAAUCCUGUCAGUCUAG